GAAGAAUCACAUCGUUAGAUCCCCAUAGAGAUUGUUCUGUUAAAUAUUGUGAAAAAUCUAAUGGUGUAUAACUAGUAAGGACUAUUUAUUCAGGUAGGCUAAGAAACAUAGUAUCGUCCAGUCAACCUUUCCUUCCCGGACGUUUUCUCUUUCACCUCUCUGCAUCACUGCAAGUUUCUUCUUCCUCUUUUCCUUGUGAACUGUGAUUCUUCUCUUUGGUUUUCUUCCUCCGGCAUCGAUUCGUUAUCGGUGAUGGCGACACUGAUGGUUGAUUUCUGCGGCGUGUUGUCGGAAUCAAAUAAGAUCGUGAACGCUCAUUCCCGCCAUUUCCUGGCCCUCUCGGUGCUAUUCCUUCUCCCUCUCUCCUUCUCUCUCAUCUUCUACCCGACGUUCCAACAGACCGUCACCGCGCCCGAUACGAGCCCAACCGAAACCCUCCUCCGUUACACUCCGGAACAGCGAUUCCUCAUAAAAACCGUCGUUCUGUGUCUCCUUUUCACCUUCGGAACCUUCAUCCUCUCUCUCUGCGCGACAGGAACUGUCACGUACAGCGUGUUCCACGGAUUCUUUGGGCGACCAGUGAAACUGAUAUCUGCGAUCAAAUCACUGUCGAAUUCUUUCAUUCGCCUGUUUGUAACGAUUCUCUUCGCUCAAGUUAUCGUCUUGUCAAUAGCUGUUGUUCUGGGCCUCGUCAUGUUUUUUCUGAUUAAGGGGAUUGGAUUUCUAGGAUUCGAUGUCUCGCAAUCUUCGACUUGCGUUACAGUUGUUUACACGAUUGGCUUGGUGGUUUUAGUUUUAGUGGCCGUGUAUUUACAGGUGAAUUGGGCUUUAGCUUGUGUGGUCGUGGUGGUGGAGUCGAGUUGGGGAGUGGAGCCUUUGAGGCGGAGUUCGUACCUGAUAAAGGGGAUGAGAGGUGUUGCAGCUUAUCUGUUGCUAUUUUUUGGUUUAAUUUCUGGGUUGAUGUUGUGGGGCAACUGGGAACCGAUGAAUGUGGGUGAUUUGAAGGAUUGGAUGUCUGUAGUGGGGACUGUUGUUGGUUCGGCAUUUAUUAUGUUAAUUCUGCUUCAUAGCAUAUCAGCGAGCACUGUGUUGUAUAUGCACUGUAAGGCGUUACAUGGAGAGCUUGCAGGGGAGAUUGCAGAGGAGUUUGCGCAAGAGUACGUAAGCUUGCCAUUUGAUGAUAAGAAGGUUCCCCAUGUCGUGUUUGUUAUCCAACCAUGAGAUGCAUGGAGCCGGUGGAUUGAUCUUUAUGGAGUCUUAAUCCAUGAUUGCCGAUUUGAAUGAAAGUAGCAUGGUAUUUGGGAACUCAACAAAGUAGUUAAUGAUGUUAACUGAACGAUAGAUCACCUUCCAGAUUGUAUAUCUGGCGCUGUCUCCUGAAUUUUGCAUAUAUUUGUCUGAAGCCUUUUCUGAUUGGUGAAGGCUAUAUAUACCCUGGUAUAAGGCCUAAACUCAUUUAAGGUCCAGAAGCUUAUGACAAUGUGACUUUUAAUUUUGGGUUAUAUCGUUGAAUUUGUCAUAUAUAGGGAACCAAGAUAAGAUUCUCAGGACCAGAAGUGUGAAGACUCAAAAUAACCUGGUACUAUGGAUGUAUAUAGCUUUAUUAAUUUGCUUGCGUAAUGAAGUUCUCUUUACCAAA